rnacentral:rRNA from 1 species
AGCAGCCGCGGUAAUUCCAGCUCCAAUAGCGUAUAUUAAAGUUGUUGCAGUUAAAAAGCUCGUAGCUGAAUUUCGGGGUUAGUAGAUUGGUCAUGCCUCUGGUAUGUACUGGUCUCACUGAUUCCUCCUUCCUGAUGAACCUUAAUGCCAUUAAUUUGGUGUUUUGGGGAAUUUGGACUGUUACUUUGAAAAAAUUAGAGUGUUUAAAGCAAGCUAACGCUUGAAUACAUUAGCAUGGAAUAAUGAAAUAGGACGUUCGAUCCUAUUUUGUUGGUUUCUAGGAUUGACGUAAUGAUUAAUAGGGAUAGUUGGGGGCAUUAGUAUUCAAUUGUCAGAGGUGAAAUUCUUGGAUUUAUUGAAGACUAACUACUGCGAAAGCAUUUGCCAAGGAUGUUUUCAUUAAUCAAGAACGAAAGUUAGGGGAUCGAAGACGAUCAGAUACCGUCGUAGUCUUAACCAUAAACUAUGCCGACUAGGGAUCGGAUGAUGUUAAUUUUUUAAUGACUCA